UACCGGAAGGUGCGGCUGGAUCACCUCCUUUCUAAGGAGCACCGAUACCGUAAAGGUUCCCCCGCCCCCGCAAUCGUGUGGGAUCUGGUGGUUGGGAGAGGUGCCAGGGUUCUGUAGUGGGAUUCUGGUGGGUGCACAACAAACAUUGAGGCACGUCCCGGUUUCGGGGGUGUCGCCUGGUCUACGGGAACGUGGGGCUGGGGUCGCUGAACACACUGUUGGGUCCUGAGGCAACAGGCCCGCAGGCUCGCCCCCUGUUUUUUUGGGUGUGGUGGGUGCUGGUCCCUGACUGUUGGUUGGGGGUUCUGAUUGUCGCCCUGCUUGGUGGUGGGGUGUGGUGUUUGAUUUGUGGAUAGUGGUUGCGAGCAUCAAGCCGCACGAUGUGGCCGGCACUCUUUGGGGUGUUGGUUGGUGUG
rnacentral:misc_RNA from 1 species